rnacentral:lncRNA from 1 species
UUAUUUUUUUAAGCCUUAUUAGGAGGAUCAAGUAAUCAAACUUUCAAGCAAUCAAACAAUUUUCUGUAUUGGUAUCUCUCUCUCGACACCGUGCUGCCUUUCUAUAAUUGUUUUCUUUAAUGCAAUAAAGUUUUCUUUCAUUCUCGUUCUCAUUCUCAUUUAUGUUAUCUCAAUUACUUUUGACAUUAGUUUUUCCGUACGGAAUUGACAGUCUCGUCUAGCGCACAGAUAUCGGUUGCUUAGUGUGUCAUCGCCCUUCCAAGAAAUCUCAGGAAGGCGCCGCGUAACAGUUGGUAUCAGAGUCUAGGCUCGACAUUGGACAAGGGAACACAUUGCCAUUACCAUCAUUUCUGACCAUGAUAAAUCAUGGGGACCACAUUGCGGCCCUUGAAGAGACGGUUAACGUAUUACAACCCAUCGUGAAUAUGGUGCCUGAUCUAAGAACCAACCUAGUGCAAAGGUUGGACGACGUGGACCGCAGGUUGUGGCAGACCGAAAGUGAUAGUACAAAUAUCAGUCGCAACUUUGAAGGAGACCGACAAAUGGCUGCCAUAGAGGUCGUUGAAAUUUUCAGUAAAUUUGAGGGCCUCCAAUAGGAGUGGAUCGAGGAUUUAGCCUAUAAGGCACAAGAGGCAGAUAGGGUUACUGCCUUGCAACAAACCAUAAAAAACUUGACAGACCAGCUCAAUGUUGCAUUACAAGGCCUACUUUGAGGAGGCGGAAACCAAAUCAGGGGUGCUGCGAACCUCGCCCCCGUGCCACAAAACCUGAAGAUUCUUGAGUCAAAACCCUACAAUGGGGCUCGGAAUGCCAAGGAAGUGGAGAACUUCAUCUUCGAUAUCGAAAAAUACUUCGAUGCCGUAGGGGAGAUAUAAAAAGAUAAAAAAGUAGCAAUUGCUGCCAUGUAUAUUCAAGGUGAUGCUAAACUCUAGUGGCGGGUGAAAUACGAAACCAUCAGGGCAGAUGAAGAUACUUUUGAGACAUGGGGUGGCCUGAAGGCGGCCAUACGCCUACCGUUCUUCCCUAAAAACAUUGAGUACACUGCAUAGAGCAAGCUCCGGGAGCUCCGCUACACCAAGUCAGUCAAGGAUUACGUGCUGGAAUUCUCCGCACUCAUGCCAAACAUACGGGAUAUGGGGGACAAAGACAAACUCUUCACCUUCCUGGAAUGUUUGAAACCUUGUGCCUCUAUGGAGUUACAAAGACAAAUGACACUUUACCCAAGAUGAUCCAAACAGCGAAAUGCCUUGCGGACUACCAAGUGGAAGCUCGGAAGGAUAGUGUCACGCCCCAAACCUGGUGAGGCGAGACCGAUAAUGGUGCCUCACUUGACCGACCGUACUAACCUGAGGCUGAGACAAUUUGUGAAGCAAAGUAUAAAACUGAUUGGAAACUAGCUCCAACUGAACAUCAGCAUAAAGCUUGGUUGGCAAGGCCGUCAUAACUACUAACGCUGACAAACCAAAAAAAUGUACAUACCAAGCCUACAAGGCCAACAUACUGCACUGACUGACAGGAUAUGUUUACAAGCCUCUAGUGAUAGUCGGAACAAGGCCCCGACCUACCUUUAUAAUCUAUAUAUAUAAAAUGGACUCCAAAGUCUAGACUGGGUAACUUCGGGGAAGUGGAGCUUACCAAUCAAGCUGAUGUUUGGCUCUGUCUACUGCGAAGGUCUAUCCGGCUCUCUAUCAAGGCCUACAAGCAUGAAAUGCAGCAUCAUCAUAAAAGGGACGUCAGUACAAAAUAAUGUACCGAGUACGUAAGGUAAUAGAAUAAUUGAGAACUAAGACUGAACUGAUAAUAUAAUAACUGAAAGUAACUGGGAGUCAAAGAUGAUUUGAGGAUAUGCUUACCUAUUGAUACUGACUUAACUCUCUCAAUGUAGUAAGUAAAAUAACUGUCCGACCCUAUAAGGCUCGGUACUGUAACUGCUCUGGCGUAGCAGCUUCUCUCAUCGGUGCUCAGCCAUAGUGGACUCGGUGUAUAACUUACCAUCUGAUUAGAGGUUGGCCAAUAGAGAGCUGCCCACCAAUUAUAGCUCGAUGGUGGUGAAAAUACUGUUAUAUUGUACGUAUAUAUAGAACCUCUGCUCUCUUGACCGAAAGAAGACGAUACUUAACUGAAUAUAAAGUCACGAUAAGGCAGAAUACUGCAAUUUAUUAGACUAGGAUAAUGUACAUAAGUUCAGG